UAUUAAUGUGCGAAACUCAAUCACUGACC
rnacentral:piRNA from 1 species